GAUGAACGCUGGCGGCGUGCCUAAUACAUGCAAGUCGAGCGAACAGACGAGGAGCUUGCUCCUCUGACGUUAGCGGCGGACGGGUGAGUAACACGUGGAUAACCUACCUAUAAGACUGGGAUAACUUCGGGAAACCGGAGCUAAUACCGGAUAAUAUAUUGAACCGCAUGGUUCAAUAGUGAAAGACGGUUUUGCUGUCACUUAUAGAUGGAUCCGCGCCGCAUUAGCUAGUUGGUAAGGUAACGGCUUACCAAGGCGACGAUGCGUAGCCGACCGGAGAGGGUGAUCGGCCAGCCUGGAACUGAGACACGGUCCAGAUUCCUAAGGGAGGCAGCAGUAGGGAAUCUUCCGCAAUGGGCGAAAGCCUGACGGAACAACGCCGCGUGAGUGAUGAAGGUCUUCGGAUCGUAAAACUCUGUUAUUAGGGACGAACAAAUGUGUAAGUAGCUAUGCACGUCUUGACGGUACCUAGUCAGAAAGCCACGGCUAACUACGUG
rnacentral:rRNA from 1 species